AUGCCGUGCGAGCUGCGUCACGAGCUGAUCGUGUGGGAGAUCCUGGUCCGGCUGCCCGCCAAGUCCCUGCUGCCACUACGCUGCGUCUGCAUGGCCUGGCGCGACACCAUCUCCGGCGCCGACCGAUCCUUCUCUCAGGCGCACCUCCGCCGGCUUCGCCAGCAAGACAAGAAGCUCUGCAGCCUGCUCAUCACACCACGUAUCAGAAGCGAAAGAAUCAAAGGGAAGAUAGCCACCCCUGGACUUUACCUGUGGGAGGAGAGCCGGCAGGGCGUCGCGACCCUCUUGCACGACACCUCCUCGUUCCCCGCAGAGGAGGCCAAGACAAGACAUGCUUUUGCCCACUGCGACGGGCUCGUGCUCCUGCCCGCCGAGGAUGCCGUCCGCGUGCUCAACCCAGCCACAGGCCGAGUCCUCGAGCUGCCCUGGAGCCCCAACGGCGUUGCGCCGGGACGGCACUUGGUAGCACCAGGACACCAAGCGUUGGGCUUCGGGCAGGACCAUGGCUCCAAUGCCUACAAGGUCGCUCGCUUCUUCUAA
rnacentral:rRNA from 1 species